UACGUAGGGUGCGAGCGUUGUCCGGAAUCACUGGGCGUAAAGGGUGCGUAGGCGGGUCUUUUAAGUCAGGGGUGAAAUCCUGGAGCUCAACUCCAGAACUGCCUUUGAUACUGAAGAUCUUGAGUCCGGGAGAGGUGAGUGGAACUGCGAGUGUAGAGGUGAAAUUCGUAGAUAUUCGCAAGAACACCAGUGGCGAAGGCGGCUCACUGGCCCGGUACUGACGCUGAGGUGCGAAAGCGUGGGGAGCAAACAGG
rnacentral:rRNA from 1 species